rnacentral:rRNA from 1 species
UACGUAGGGUCCGAGCGUUGUCCGGAAUUAUUGGGCGUAAAAGGGCUCGUAGGCGGUUCGUCACGUCGGGAGUGAAAACUCGGGGCUAACCCUAACCGACCUGCUUCCGAAUACGGGCAGACUAGAGGUAGGCAGGGGAGAGCGGAACUCCUGGUGUAGGCGGUGGAAUGCGCAGGAUAUCAGGAAGAACACCGGUGGCGAAGGCGGCUCUCGUGGCUACCUGACGCUGAGGAGCGAAAGCGUGGGGUAGCGAACAGG